UACGUAGGGGGCAAGCGUUGUCCGGAAUCAUUGGGCGUAAAGAGCGUGUAGGCGGCCCGGUAAGUCCGCUGUGAAAGUCCAGGGCUCAACCCUGGGAUGCCGGUGGAUACUGUCGGGCUCGAGUCCGGAAGAGGAGAGUGGAAUUCCUGGUGUAGCGGUGAAAUGCGCAGAUAUCAGGAAGAACACCCGUGGCGAAGGCGGCUCUCUGGGACGUGACUGACGCUGAGACGCGAAAGCGUGGGGAGCGAACAGG
rnacentral:rRNA from 1 species